GAGCGCCCCGCAAGGGGAGCGGCAGACGGGAGAGUAACACGUGGGAACGUACCCUUCAGUUCGGAACAACCCAGGGAAACUUGGGCUAAUACCGGAUACGUCCGUAAGGAGAAAGAUUUAUCGCUGAAGGAUCGGCCCGCGUCUGAUUAGCUAGUUGGUGAGGUAACGGCUCACCAAGGCUACGAUCAGUAGCUGGUCUGAGAGGAUGAUCAGCCUCACUGGGACUGAGACACGGCCCAGACUCCUACGGGAGGCAGCAGUGGGGAAUAUUGGACAAUGGGCGCAAGCCUGAUCCAGCCAUGCCGCGUGGAUGAUGAAGGCCCUAGGGUUGUAAAGUCCUUUCGGCGGGGAAGAUAAUGACGGUACCCGCAGAAGAAGCCCCGGCUAACUUCGUGCCAGCAGCCGCGGUAAUACGAAGGGGGCUAGCGUUGCUCGGAAUCACUGGGCGUAAAGCGCACGUAGGCGGCUUUCUAAGUCAGAGGUGAAAUCCUGGAGCUCAACUCCAGAACUGCCUUUGAUACUGGAGAGCUUGAGUCCGGGAGAGGUGAGUGGAACUGCGAGUGUAGAGGUGAAAUUCGUAGAUAUUCGCAAGAACACCAGUGGCGAAGGCGGCUCACUGGCCCGGUACUGACGCUGAGGUGCGAAAGCGUGGGGA
rnacentral:rRNA from 1 species